rnacentral:rRNA from 2 species
UUCGGGGUGGAUUAGUGGCGAACGGGUGAGUAACACGUGGGCAAUCUGCCCUUCACUCUGGGACAAGCCCUGGAAACGGGGUCUAAUACCGGAUAACACUCCUGCCUGCAUGGGCGGGGGUUAAAAGCUCCGGCGGUGAAGGAUGAGCCCGCGGCCUAUCAGCUUGUUGGUGGGGUAAUGGCCUACCAAGGCGACGACGGGUAGCCGGCCUGAGAGGGCGACCGGCCACACUGGGACUGAGACACGGCCCAGACUCCUACGGGAGGCAGCAGUGGGGAAUAUUGCACAAUGGGCGAAAGCCUGAUGCAGCGACGCCGCGUGAGGGAUGACGGCCUUCGGGUUGUAAACCUCUUUCAGCAGGGAAGAAGCGAAAGUGACGGUACCUGCAGAAGAAGCGCCGGCUAACUACGUGCCAGCAGCCGCGGUAAUACGUAGGGCGCAAGCGUUGUCCGGAAUUAUUGGGCGUAAAGAGCUCGUAGGCGGCUUGUCGCGUCGGAUGUGAAAGCCCGGGGCUUAACCCCGGGUCUGCAUUCGAUACGGGCAGGCUAGAGUGUGGUAGGGGAGAUCGGAAUUCCUGGUGUAGCGGUG